rnacentral:rRNA from 1 species
UGCAAGUCGACGAGAAAGUUCCUUCGGGAACGAGUACAGUGGCGAACGGGUGUAUAACACGUGAGAAUCUACCCUUGAGUGAAGGAUACCUUCGAGAAAUCGGAGUUAAUACUGCAUAAUCGGGUCACCAGAGAUGGUGAUUUGGAAAGACGGCCUCUUGCUGUCGCUUAAGGAUGAGCUCGCGGACUAUUAGUUAGUUGGUGGGGUAAAAGCCUACCAAGACUAUGAUGGUUAGCCGGCCUGAGAGGGUGACCGGCCACAUUGGGACUGAGAUACGGCCCAGACUCCUACGGGAGGCAGCAGUGGGAAAUAUUGCACAAUGGACGCAAGUCUGAUGCAGCGACGCCGCGUGGGGGAUGAAGGUUUUCGGAUCGUAAACUCCUGUUAAGAGGGAAGAAAUAGCCUUGAGUAAUAUGCAAGGAAGAUGACGGUACCUCUAAAGAAAGCUCCGGCUAACUUCGUGCCAGCAGCCGCGGUAAUACGAAGGGAGCAAGCGUUAUUCGGAAUAACUGGGCGUAAAGAGCGUGUAGGUGGCAUUAUAAGUCAGUUGUUAAAUAUCACAGCCUAACUGUGAAACUGCGAUUGAAACUGUAAAGCUAGAGGGCAGAAGAGAGAAGUGGAAUUCUUGGAGUAGCGGUAAUAUGCGUAGAUCUCAAGAGGAACACCGAUUGCGAAGGCAGCUUCUUGGUCUGUACCUG